UUCCCGUCAACCGUCCAUCGAACGGGAGAAGAGACAGGGUUCAGGGUGGGGAGGGGCGGCUCUCGAAGCGGCGGAUGGAUCCGUGAGGAGAGCAAAACCGUACUCCAAGCGAACUCUGAUCUAAUGUUCACUCAUUCAUCCGUGAUGCCUUCGGUAGUUUUCAAUCCGAGCUCCGCGAUCCGUUGCUCGAGCCAUGCGUCCUCCUUUCCCCUCUCCCCGUCUCUCCAGCGUAGUGAUGGACCAAGAAGUCGUCUCUGCAGGCCAAUAUCUUGCCUGCCAUCGAGAUUGGAUCUUGUGUUCGUUGCCUGGAAAACCUAGGCAGUCAUUUCUGCCAAUGGACUUGAAGACAAUUUGCUGCUACAUAAACAUGGUCACAAAAAGGGGGAAAGGUAAUUCAAUGAACUACUUAUUUAAUGCAGUAUAUGUGGCAUUCUAUAUCCACACACACCUGCCUGCGUGCACGUCUACUCUUUAGUGCUGCCAUUCCUUCCCGAGAUAAAAUCUUGUAUUUAUUAUUAUAGCCACAGAGGACCACAGUUUUAUCUCCUAAUUUGUCAUCAAUGUAGGAUGAGUAGCUCCUCAAACUUGCUUGCUUUACUUGAUGAUUUACAUAUCUCAAUAUAAAAUGCACAUCUUGCCUUUUUCAAGCAUUACAUUUUUGGUGUA